UCCUUCCUUUACAUUUGGAUCGCUUUCUUUUUUUCUGCCCUGAAAUUUCUAAAUCUGAUGUAGGAUUAAGCUGUACUUAAUAUGUUUACAGCCCAGAAAGUUAUUUUUUUAGAAAAAAUAUGUGCAGGGAUUGAAAGAGUACAUAUUGCCUCGCUGCAGAAUGAAAUGGACACCCAAAUAGGCCAAGGACCACAGAAAUAAAAGGCAAUUUGCCCUGAUGGCAAUUAUUUAAGAAUGAGUACUGUUUUCCUCUGUCUUUUUGAAAAUGCUGAUACAUACCUGGAACCAAUUUGGCAUUACCCUCUUCAUUUCUUAUUUCUUUGGACUAUGGCUCUAUAAAGUCCAGCCUCAACUGCAUUACUGCUCUAAGUAUAUGCAGCAUGUUCAUUUAUCUUACACAUGAAAAGUGAUGAUAAAUUGCCAUAUAUUUUAAGCAUUAAAGUAACUCUUUGAACCCUUUUGAAAGGGAAGAAAGUAGAUGCCCAACAAUAUUUAGUCUUCUUUGCAUCAAGUGAAGUUAAAAAUCACCCUAUUUGCACUUUGGUCUCUGAAAAACAGUCCUAGACAAAUCACAAUGAUUAUACUGCAUGUGUCCAUGUGUGUGCGUUAGACUUACAAGUGAAUAUUCCAAAUAAGCUUCAAGCAGUUUCCUUCUGGGCUGUUUGUAUACUUCUUUGAGAUAGACAAAUGUUGCCAAAACUGGCAGCCUCCCCUUGGCACCUUGCAGUGUAGUAACAGCAAAAAUGUUACAAUUCACAAAACAAACUCCACACAUCUCAAAUUGAUAUUGUAUAACUCAGCACAUUCCCAACAGCAUGUGAAACUGAGAAAUGUUGUAUAUUGUGCUGUAGAUGUGUAGUCACGCUGUCUCUUUUCCUUGUUCCUCUCCCUCUUCCAAAAGAGAUUUGACAUAUCUUGCAACUUGCUUUGAAGAUUUUUUAAUUUGACUUUUGAUGGGCAACUUAGCAUAAAUAAAGCACAACCACACACUUGUUGAGAAUAAGGAUGCUUCAACUGAGGUUCCAAAAGAAACUCAAGUCUCCAUAAAGCCUGCACCGAGUCAGAAAAUGAUAGAAGAUGUGCUGACAUUCCUCAUAAUCUAGACUGGAAGGCAACAAAGCUAAAUCAACUUCUAAGAGUAGCUAAUUUUCUUCAAUAAAAUUGUGUAUAGUUGAAAAGACAAACUUCUGUAGAAGAAACAAACAUUAUAUUACAGCAUAUGUUGAUUAAGUGGAUUGUGGCAAAUGUUAGGAACCAAAAAUAAAUGAAAAGAGGAUAUAGCAUACUUCUUCAUGGGGAAAAAAAUCCUGAAGACAGUGAAAACAAGUACAACUUAGCAACAUGUAUGCAGUGUGUUUGAGGAUACAGAAAUCUAAAGGCAUUCUAAAGUCAGUGGUGGGUUGUUCCCGGUUCUGUCCGGUUCUUUAGAACCGGUAGUAAAAGCUGCGGGAGGCUCCGCCCACCCGCCUGGACGUCAUAAUUGACGAUCUGUGAUGUUCCCAUUGUGAACCGGUAGUAAAGCUCUCUUAUUUUCACAUCUGGAGGAGUUAUGGAGAAUGACUCUGUAAAAGCAGAGCCAAUGACUGUGGCAAAGACCAAAAGAAAUGAUGAGAAGACCAGUUUCUUGGAACAUUUCUGGAUGAGAAGCGGAUGAGAAAUCACCCACAUGUUCUUGCAAGGAGACCAUAACAUAGUAUUUUUCUGUGGGUUUGAGCAUUGGGAGUUGACAGACUUAGCUAUUUUGUUUGCAACCAUGGUGGAGACUUUUAAAGGCUCUAAGAUAACAAACCUCACUUUCUAAUCACUUUUGGAAAUUGCUUAUUAACUACUUCUAAGCUAUUAGAGUGCUUUGGAAUGACAAGUAUGAAAAUAUCAGGUGAGUCUGCUUUUAAUCCUGAAUGAAAGAAAACUUUAAUUAUAAGCUUAAGAAUUUAAAGAAUCUGAAAUAAACAAUGCUAUUAAGGAUUAAGGAGCCAAAUAAAAUUGGAAUAAUGAAACUUUUACAAUAAGAAAAACACGUUUACACAUUUGAAAAGUCACUGUGGUUGUUACCAAGUUGCACCUAUAAUCUUAUACCUUAAUUUCAUUCCACAUAUUCAUCAACUCAUCUCCAUAAAAAUUAGAACAUUUUAAUUUAAACCUGUUACAAUCUUCCUAUUUCUUUUUACUUCAUAGCACUUAACGUAUCUACUUUACUUUCAUUCAUUUCAUUUGAAAAUUCAUGCUCUUCACAAUUUACCUUUUCUUAUACCAAGACAUAAUUUUCCACAUGAUAUGUAUGUCCAUAGCUGUUUAGUAAUACCAACUUUAAUUGUGUAUAACUUUGUAUACUGUACUCUACUAAUAACAAAGACAAUGCUAAUCAGUUUAGGUACAUUCUGAUCAAUAAACCAGAAGUGCAGCCAAAAGGCAACUGUGUCUAAGUCUGUUUGUACACACUAAGAUCAUUAGUAUAUAAAUCAUAUAUGUGCAGAGAAUUGACAUAUACUCAGCAUAAAUUAUAGUAUAUUUUGUGUUUUAUUUCUGUA